ensembl:lncRNA
CCUCCCUCCCUUCAUGCCCACUUUAUACAGGCAGUCCUCGACUUACGACCACAAUCGAGCCCAACAUUUUCUGUGGUUAAGUGAGACCUUGGUACAGUGAAUUUGGCUCCGUUUCCCCACCUUUCUUGACCCUGUUGUUCAGUGAAUCACCGCCGUUGAGAAGUCGGUAAUGUGGUCGUUAAAUGAAUCUGGCGUCCCCUGUUGUCUUUGCUCGUCGCAAAAGGGGAUCACAUUAUCUCGAUAAACAGCAACGGUCAUAAUUAUGAGAUGGUGGCCAAGCACCUGACUUUUGAUCCAAUCAUCCUGGGGUUAUCAAGGUCGUAAGUGUGGGGAAAACGGACCCUCAGUCCCUUUUUUUUUCCCCUGUGCCGUUGUUAACGUCGAACAGUCACUAAACCGAACCAUUGUAAGUUGAGGACUGCUGUUCUGACCCAAAUCUUCUUCCAAACACGAAAACAAACACGAAACAGAGGUAACAGCAAAUCCUUUUAAUGAUUCUUUACAAAUUCUGAUUAAAAGGCUGUUUCAAACUAAUUGUCUCUGAUGAGGACAAGCCUUGCCAAGGUGGUGCAAGGCCGCCAAGAACACUAGAUAAAGUUGCCAAGAAAUAUUCCAAUCACAAAGAGUCUCCAAACACAAACCAAGAUAUCUCGAACGUCCGCAAGGCUUGAGUGCAAAAACGUCUUUGCUUCCUGCAAAGAACUCCGGAUUCUAAGGCUGGCUUUUAUCCCUUAAGGGAGGGGCCAUUACCUUGCAACCUUACUCCUGAGUCGCCUGUGCUGCUGCAGCUGCUCUUUCCUGCGAGCAGCCCUGCAUGCACGUUCACUGGGCACAGGCUCCUUGGGGACCUCUUCAUCACAGCUGCCAGCCUCCACAAUCUCCACAGGUAGCACCCCACUCCCUGAUGGUCCUGGCCUCAUCCCUGCCUCACACGCAGGCCCCUCAUCUUGAGUCCUCAGCAGUCUGCACCUGCGGCCAGCGAACCACAACUACCCGCCUCCACUCUCAAAACUCCCUCUCGCCCUCUCUCUCUCUCUCCCCCCAGCCUGAACCGAGCCGGCGUCCCAAAGCGAGACGGCCGUCGCUCUGCCUCGUGUGAACGGUCCCAUUCCCAGGAGCGCAGCAGCAGCGUGCCCUGGGUAGCCAGCCGGCCACGAUCCACCUCCAGGGACGGGCGCAGCGGGAGCCAGCAGAGCCGCCUCUCCCGCCAGUCUCCUUCUCCAACAGGUAUCCGGACCUCUCGCUUCGAUCCGACAGCUUUUGUGAAGGCCAAGGAACGGAAACAAAAGGAGAUCGAACAGAAAAACAAACGGAAUCUCCAUCGGGCCAUGGGAGACACCCCGCCCAGUGGCUGGUACCACCACACCCAGCUCAGGGGCUCCUCGGUCCUCCCUGGCGGAAGCAGCCUUGGGAAGCCGCGCGGCCGCAGCUCUUCAGUGGAAAGUUUCCGCAGCAAACGCACCUCGGCCAGCUCAGGGAGCGAAGAUGGAGGAUUAUUCAGAACCUGUUGCACCAAGAGGCAGGAAACGGCUAGCCAGGAACAGGAAGCCCUUCAGCUCUUCGUCUUGGAACGGCCCCACGGCGGGUCCCCGUGCAGACAACGCUCACAAGAAACGUCUCUCCAGCACCCCAAAUACAGGCAAGGCCAGAGGGAAAGGUAAAGCAGCCGGCGUCUCAGAGAUCUUGGAAAACUCAGAGAACCUCUACGAUGAGCCCUCGGCGGAUCUCUCCGAGAUCGACGCCCGUCUGCAGGCGCUGCAGGAGUACAUGAAUAAGCUGGAGACCCAGACGUAGCCCAAGCAAGAGGCGAGCCUUGGCCUAGCUGCAUCCGGUCCAAAUGUAGACGCUGUCCUUUUUCUCCACUCUCGCUACUCUGGUUGCGUGUCUUCUACGGCUACGUCCUUAAGGGGGGAGGGCUGGGUUGAGGUGGGGGAAUGAGGACGGCUGUCUUGUCAACUUCAGCCUUUGAAAGCCUUCCUGAGAACGAUUACAUUAAAGGUUUCUAAGAACAACCUUCCUGAGUUUUUCCUUCUUGCAAAAAUCCUUUUUAUGGCAGUGAUACUUAAGCUCAGCAGCUUUAAAGAUGAACAUACAUUAAUGUAGGUUUGUGAUGGUGAAUCUAUGGCACGUAGAACCAUUUCUGCAGGCAUGUGAGCCCCAGCCAAACGUACCUGCAUUGUGCAUGCGUGUGCCUCCCAGCUGAUUUUCACCCUGCCAGAGAUCAAGGGAAGCCUCUGCAGCCUUUGGAGGCUGAAAAACAGGCCCGUUUCGUCUCUUCUUGUUUUUCCGGAAAUACCAGAAGUGACAAAACGGGCCCAUUUUUCGGCCUCCAAAGGCUGCAGAGGCUUCCCUGGAGCCUCUGGGAAGCUGAAAAAGGCCUCAAACAGGCUGAAAAACCAGCUGGGAGGCGCGUGCAUGUGCAGUGUAGAUAAGGGGGCGGUGGGGGGAUCGCGCACUUGUGC